CACCCCAACUUUCGACACGUCAUGACUAAUGCCAAAUGUUCAGGUGUUACUCGUUGUGCGGCCUACUUAGCUCUAGACUCAGAUUUUUAUAAAUUAAUUAUCAAUAAAAGCCUUUAUCGGUUUAAUCGUGAACAGAUUACUACUCGUGGAAUAGCGUUUAGUUGCUCGCAAGGUUAGUUUCUUCAGGGUUGUCGUGUAAGAAAACACAAGGCAACAGAAAGUAACAUAUAUAAACAUAUAUAUAAUAUACACAUGAGUUAAGUUCAAGGAUACGUGUCAUCCAUCAAAGUCGAGUAUCACACCAAGUUAUAUGUACAAAUACAAAAGAAGGAAUCAGUCCCAACCCUCACACGGGUUUCCUAAGCUGGAACCGAACUACUAUGACGUCCUACCCCUCUAAAAGUACUACAAAAGUGAGGGGAAAGUGAUACUAAGAUCAUCAAACAGGAGCGAAAGAUCCACUGCGACUAACUCUGGAGUGAUCGGUCCAAAACAUGCUCCAUAUGAAGACUCCGCCGCGCGCCGGAUCUUCAUAGCUCAGCGGUUAGAACGAAACUCACAGGGCUCCUCUGCCGGACCCGUCUGGGGAGGGGGAAAAGAAAGAAAAGAAGGGUGAGAAUCUAGAGUUCUCAGUAAGGAAAAAGGGGAACCUAGGGUCUUUAUCUCUAAGUUGUCACGAAACAGAAAAAGAACAAAUACAGAGACUCAAGGCUCAAACAUAUUUAUGACAGGUAAGUAGCAUGAACAAGAAAGAAAUGGCAGUAAAUAAUUCACAAGAAGUUCAUAUGCGCAAACAAGAUGAUGCAUGCCUAUUCCUAGCGCAGGCCAUGAGCUCAUGCGUCGGUUGUCUACCCGCAACCCGACGUUACUCAGAGUGAAUCCCGAGUAUGGUCCCUUUACUGUGUCAAUUAGACCUCAUUAUAAUAACAUUUCAAUGUGUAUCACAGUAAGGAAUAGUGCUAUCAAUUAGGCGAACAUUCCCGCAUUAGCAAUCUCAGGCUAUCCAUUAGGCGGGCACUUUCGCAUUAGCAGUUCGGCACAAGGUCCAUUCAACAUACACUUUUCAUAAUUUACUUAUUCAUUUCAAUUAUCUCUUUCAAACAUGGUUUCUCAUUUACUUUCUCUUUAUCAUGCCUCCGCAUCACCAACACUGUAAAACAUACCUCCGCAUCACCGCCUAACUAUACAUACCUCCACACCACCGUCUAAUUAUACAUACCUCCACAUCACCCAUUAACCUUAAACCUUCUUGGAGACAACUUACACAUUUACAUUUAAUUAAAUUCCUGAACUUUUAUAGAAAUUCGGACAUAGUCUCCUCUAAAAUAGCACUAAAACCACCCUUACGGGUUCCUCAGCUUUAACAACGUUCAAACUUUCCUUAACAAUUUACCAAGUAAACAUUCUUAAUUGGUCAUUAUACUCUCUUUAAUCCCUUUAGUUAUUGUAAAAACACGGGUUUAGAAAAUACAACUUGGUUCGGGGGCAUUCCUACCAUAAUUGAAAUUUGUACAAAUCUUUC
rnacentral:lncRNA from 1 species